UAGAGUUUGAUCAUGGCUCAGGAUGAACGCUGGCGGCGUGCUUAACACAUGCAAGUCGAACGGACUCAUAUUGAAACCUAGUGAUUUAUGAGUUAGUGGCGGACGGGUGAGUAACGCGUGGAUAACCUGCCGUAUACCGGGGGAUAACACUUAGAAAUAGGUGCUAAUACCGCAUAAGCGCACGGCUCCGCAUGGGGCAGUGUGAAAAACUCCGGUGGUAUACGAUGGAUCCGCGUCUGAUUAGCUAGUUGGCGGGGUAACGGCCCACCAAGGCAGCGAUCAGUAGCCGGCCUGAGAGGGUGGACGGCCACAUUGGGACUGAGACACGGCCCAAACUCCUACGGGAGGCAGCAGUGGGGAAUAUUGCACAAUGGGGGAAACCCUGAUGCAGCGACGCCGCGUGAGUGAAGAAGUAUCUCGGUACGUAAAGCUCUAUCAGCAGGGAAGAAAAUGACGGUACCUGACUAAGAAGCCCCGGCUAACUACGUGCCAGCAGCCGCGGUAAUACGUAGGGGGCAAGCGUUAUCCGGAUUUACUGGGUGUAAAGGGAGCGUAGACGGCAGCACAAGUCUGGAGUGAAAUCCCGGGGCUUAACCCCGGAACUGCUUUGGAAACUGUGCGGCUGGAGUGCAGGAGGGGUAAGCGGAAUUCCUAGUGUAGCGGUGAAAUGCGUAGAUAUUAGGAGGAACACCGGUGGCGAAGGCGGCUUACUGGACUGUAACUGACGUUGAGGCUCGAAAGCGUGGGGAGCAAACAGGAUUAGAUACCCUGGUAGUCCACGCCGUAAACGAUGAUUACUAGGUGUCGGGGGACCAAGGUUCUCCGGUGCCGGCGCAAACGCAUUAAGUAAUCCACCUGGGGAGUACGUUCGCAAGAAUGAAACUCAAAGGAAUUGACGG
rnacentral:rRNA from 1 species